rnacentral:rRNA from 1 species
ACAGCAGCAGCCGCGGUAAUACGUAGGGUGCGAGCGUUAAUCGGAAUUACAGGGCGUAAAGCGAGCGCAGACGGUUAUUUAAGCAGGAUGUGAAAUCCCCGGGCUUAACCUGGGAACUGCGUUCUGAACUGGAUAGCUAGAGUGUGUCAGAGGGGGGUAGAAUUCCACGUGUAGCAGUGAAAUGCGUAGAGAUGUGGAGGAAUACCGAUGGCGAAGGCAGCCCCCUGGGAUAACACUGACGUUCAUGCUCGAAAGCGUGGGUAGCAAACAGGAUUAGAUACCCGCGUAGUCCCUGUCUCUUAUAC